rnacentral:rRNA from 1 species
UACGAAGGGGGCUAGCGUUGUUCGGAAUUACUGGGCGUGAAGCGCGUGUAGGCGGGUCUUUAAGUCAGGGGUGAAAUGCCAAGGCUCAACCUUGGAACUGCCUUUGAUACUGGAGACCUUGAGUCCGGGAGAGGUGAGUGGAAUUGCGAGUGUAGAGGUGAAAUUCGUAGAUAUUCGCAAGAACACCAGUGGCGAAGGCGGCUCACUGGCCCGGAACUGACGCUGAGAUGCGAAAGCGUGGGGAGCAAACAGG